rnacentral:rRNA from 1 species
AUGGUGACCGCAACACUGUACUUCCAGGCACAAGCGGCGCAAAGGCAGCGAAUGAACAAAAUUCAAGGGUUGCAUUGGCAGGACGGUUCUGUUUGUGCUGAUGAAGCUGAGGAUAAGAGUGAGGUCCAAGCAUUGUAUCAGAACCUAUACGAAUCUCAAGGUUUCUUGGAUGCAACCAAACUUCUUAACCACGUUCCAGUUAAUGUAUCUUUUGAUAUGAACAUGGAACUUAGAAAACCAUAUACUGCGGUCGAGUUGAGGCAACAUCUGAAAGACACCCUAAACAUUUCAGUGGAGGCGUUCAACAAACGUUAUUUGGGGUUGCCCAGAGCUGUUGGUCGUAUUACAAGCGGUACCUUUGAUCAUAUCGGGGAGAGGGCCCAUGGCAAGAUGCAGGGGUGGUCUAAGAAGCUGCUGUCAUGUACAGGACAUGAAACCUUACUAAAGUCAAUGGUUCAGGCAAUUCCCACGUACUCGAUGAGUACCUUUCUUCUCACAAAGAAAGUUUUUUUAAAGGGCCGCUACCUCCUUGACAUGGAUUUUAUGCAUGCAAUCGUCCCUAAGUCUGCUACUACAACUUGGAGGGCGGUCGUAGCUGGCACAGAAGCUCUGAAGGUGGGCUUGAUUAAAAGAGUGGGACACGGGACUUCCAUCGAUGCUUGGGCAGACAAGUGGAUUCCUAGGACAAUUUCUUUGUCCCCUAUGAUGAAGCCACCGAGCACCACUAUCCAAUAUGUUUUGGACCUCACUGAUUCCGACAAUUGGUCGUGGCGGCCGGAGCUAGUUUGA